UACGAGGGGUGCAAGCGUUGCUCGGAAUUAUUGGGCGUAAAGGGUAGGUAGGUGGUCUCAUUUGUCAGGGGUGAAAGCCUUGGGCUUAACCCAAGAAGUGCCCCCGAAACGGUGAGACUAGAGUGCUGGAGAGGGUCGUGGAAUUCCCGGUGUAGCGGUGAAAUGCGUAGAGAUCGGGAGGAACACCAGAGGCGAAGGCGGCGACCUGGACAGCUACUGACACUCAACUACGAAAGCGUGGGGAGCAAACAGG
rnacentral:rRNA from 1 species